GGCGCACGGGUGCGUAACGCGUAUGCAACCUACCUUAAUCAGGGGGAUAGCCCGAAGAAAUUCGGAUUAAGACCGCAUAAAAACACAGGAUAGCAUUAUCCAAUGUUCAAAUAUUUAUAGGAUUAAGAUGGGCAUGCGUGUCAUUAGCUAGUUGGCGGGGUAACGGCCCACCAAGGCGACGAUGACUAGGGGAUCUGAGAGGAUGACCCCCCACACUGGUACUGAGACACGGACCAGACUCCUACGGGAGGCAGCAGUAAGGAAUAUUGGUCAAUGGAGGGAACUCUGAACCAGCCAUGCCGCGUGCAGGAAGACAGCCCUCUGGGUCGUAAACUGCUUUUAUUCGGGAAUAAACCUACUUACGUGUAAGUAGCUGAAUGUACCGAAGGAAUAAGGAUCGGCUAACUCCGUGCCAGCAGCCGCGGUAAUACGGAGGAUCCAAGCGUUAUCCGGAUUUAUUGGGUUUAAAGGGUGCGUAGGCGGCUUAUUAAGUCAGGGGUGAAAGACGGUGGCUCAACCAUCGCAGUGCCCUUGAUACUGAUGAGCUUGAAUACACUAGAGGUAGGCGGAAUGUGACAAGUAGCGGUGAAAUGCAUAGAUAUGUCACAGAACACCGAUUGCGAAGGCAGCUUACUAUGGUGUUAUUGACGCUGAGGCACG
rnacentral:rRNA from 1 species